AGUCGAUAAGAGGCGUUUAAUCCAAGAUGUCCGAAUGGGGAAACCCAGUAGGUGAAGAACCUACUAUCACCCAGUGAAUACAUAGCUGUGUGAGGCAAACCGGGAGAACUGAAACAUCUAAGUACCCCGAGGAAAAGAAAUCAACCGAGAUUUCGUUAGUAGCGGCGAGCGAACGCGAAAGAGCCAGUUAGUGAUAGCAGUAAAGUUAGGGGAAUGUUCUGGGAAGGACAAUCGUAGAGGGUGAUAAUCCCGUACCUUAAAACUCCAUUGUGGUACUAGGCUAACAACAAGUAGGGCGGGACACGUGAUAUCCUGUUUGAAGAUGGGGGGACCAUCCUCCAAGGCUAAAUACUCCUGAUUGACCGAUAGUGAACCAGUACUGUGAAGGAAAGGUGAAAAGAACCCCGGCGAGGGGAGUGAAAUAGAACCUGAAACCUUGUGCGUACAAGCAGUGGGAGCAAGAGUAAUCUUGUGACUGCGUACCUUUUGUAUAAUGGGUCAGCGACUUAUAUUUUGUAGCAAGGUUAACUGAAUAAGGGAGCCGUAGGGAAACCGAGUCUUAACUGGGCGUGUAGUUGCAAGGUAUAGACCCGAAACCCGGUGAUCUAGCCAUGGGCAGGUUGAAGGUUGGGUAACACUAACUGGAGGACCGAACCGACUAAUGUUGAAAAAUUAGCGGAUGACUUGUGGCUGGGGGUGAAAGGCCAAUCAAACCGGGAGAUAGCUGGUUCUCCCCGAAAUCUAUUUAGGUAGAGCCUUGAGCGGACACCUUCGGGGGUAGAGCACUGUUUCGGCUAGGGGUCCAUCCCGGAUUACCAACCCGAUGCAAACUGCGAAUACCGAAGAGUGAUACUCAGGAGACACACGGUGGGUGCUAACGUCCAUCGUGGAGAGGGAAACAACCCAGACCGCCAGCUAAGGUCCCAAAGUCUAUAUUAAGUGGGAAACGAAGUGGGAAGGCUUAGACAGCUAGGAUGUUGGCUUAGAAGCAGCCACCAUUUAAAGAAAGCGUAAUAGCUCACUAGUCGAGUCGGCCUGCGCGGAAGAUGUAACGGGGCUCAAAUAUAGCACCGAAGCUGCGGCAUCAGACGAAAGUCUGUUGGGUAGGGGAGCGUUGUGUAAGUCGAUGAAGGUGGAUUGAGAAGUCUGCUGGAGAUAUCACAAGUGCGAAUGCUGACAUAAGUAACGAUAAAACGAGUGAAAAACUCGUUCGCCGGAAGACCAAGGGUUCCUGUCCAACGUUAAUCGGGGCAGGGUGAGUCGGCCCCUAAGGCGAGGCUGAAAAGCGUAGUCGAUGGGAAACGGGUUAAUAUUCCCGUACUUGUAAUAACUGCGAUGUGGGGACGGAGAAGGUUAGGUUAGCAGACUGUUGGAUGUCUGUUUAAGCCGGUAGGUGGGAAGAUUAGGCAAAUCCGGUCUUCCUUAACACCGAGAAGUGAUGACGAGUCUCUACGGAGAUGAAGUAAUCGAUACCACGCUUCCAGGAAAAGCCACUAAGCUUCAGGUUAUUAUAAACCGUACUAUAAACCGACACAGGUGGUCAGGUAGAGAAUACUCAGGCGCUUGAGAGAACUCGGGUGAAGGAACUAGGCAAAAUAGCACCGUAACUUCGGGAGAAGGUGCGCCGGCGUAGAUUGUAGUCCCUUGCGGAUGAAGGUUGAACCGGUCGAAGAUACCAGCUGGCUGCAACUGUUUAUUAA
rnacentral:rRNA from 1 species